rnacentral:rRNA from 1 species
GACGAACGCUGGCGGCGUGCUUAACACAUGCAAGUCGAACGGAAAGGCCCUGCUUUUGUGGGGUGCUCGAGUGGCGAACGGGUGAGUAACACGUGAGUAACCUGCCCUUGACUUUGGGAUAACUUCAGGAAACUGGGGCUAAUACCGGAUAGGAGCUCCUGCUGCAUGGUGGGGGUUGGAAAGUUUCGGCGGUUGGGGAUGGACUCGCGGCUUAUCAGCUUGUUGGUGAGGUAGUGGCUUACCAAGGCUUUGACGGGUAGCCGGCCUGAGAGGGUGACCGGCCACAUUGGGACUGAGAUACGGCCCAGACUCCUACGGGAGGCAGCAGUGGGGAAUAUUGCACAAUGGGCGGAAGCCUGAUGCAGCAAUGCCGCGUGCGGGAUGACGGCCUUCGGGUUGUAAACCGCUUUCGCCUGUGACGAAGCGUGAGUGACGGUAAUGGGUAAAGAAGCACCGGCUAACUACGUG